AUGAAGUGUAACUUAUUCUGGAAUGAAAUGAUAUUCCAAGGUGAAGGUCCUGACUGGCAAGACUUUGUUGGGAUUAUUGUCCUAUUAAUAAUCAAUUCAACCAUUAGUUUUGUAGAGGAGAAUAAUGCGGGAAAUGCUGCAUCAGCUCUUAUGGAACGUUUAUCUCCAAAGACAAGGAUGAGUUAAAUGCCUCACUAAGCUGCACAUGAGUUAAAUGCAGACGAGUAGACCACCUACCAGAUUUGCAGCAAAGGUUUUUGUUCUUUUUUCUGCAAUAUCUUGUUCCUCAUUGAGAAUGAAGACUAGUUGCUCUUGUAAUAUGCAGCAUAAGUCUAUAUGGGGGUCAAGAAAGAUUUGUGUCUCUGCAAUGGGUCAGCAGGUUUGUGUCUCUGCAAGCUCACUGGCCAUUCCGUUUUCUAUGACCACUUCUAUGAUUUGGGUGAUUCCGUUCAUGAUCAGAUUGUGAAACUAGUACAGCAGUAUAGCUAGCUAGUUCCUUUAUUAACUUGUGUCUAGUAGAAAUUUUUCAUUCAUUAAGCAUUUAGACUUGUCUUCAGAUCCAGAUUAGUAUAUAUGAGUUAUUUUGAACUGAAGUUCAUGAUUAAGUUUGUGUACAUGAGAUACUAGUGGAUUAAUGGAAAUUGCAAUGAAUGAUUUUGAAUGUGGAUUUUAUGGUUU